rnacentral:rRNA from 1 species
UACGUAGGGCGCAAGCGUUAUCCGGAAUUAUUGGGCGUAAAGAGCUCGUAGGCGGUUUGUCGCGUCUGCUGUGAAAGACCGGGGCUCAACCCCGGUUCUGCAGUGGGUACGGGCAGACUAGAGUGCAGUAGGGGAGACUGGAAUUCCUGGUGUAGCGGUGAAAUGCGCAGAUAUCAGGAAGAACACCGGUGGCGAAGGCGGCCUGCUGGGCAGUAGCUGACACUGAGGCGCGACAGCGUGGGGAGCAAACAGG